GGUGGGGCUGUACCACCAAGUGAGCAACAAGACCAGAGGCAUCACCCAGCUGGGCCCCUACAGCCUGGACAAGGACAGCCUCUACGUCAACGGAUACAACGAACAGCCAGUGCUGACCACUCCCACCCAUCCAACAACGACAGCUGCCGCCCUCGAGCGUUUCACCGUCAACUUCAC